rnacentral:rRNA from 1 species
UACGGAGGAUGCAAGCGUUAUCCGGAAUGAUUGGGCGUAAAGCGUCCGCAGGUGGCAAUGUAAGUCUGCUGUCAAAGCGUCUGGCUCAACCAGAUAAAGGCAGUGGAAACUACAUAGCUAGAGUAAGGUAGGGGUAGAGGGAAUUCCUGGUGUAGCGGUGAAAUGCGUAGAUAUCGCUUGGGACGCCAACGGAGAAAUCAGCAGGCUGGGGAUGUGCUGACGCUGAGACGCGAAAGCCAGGGGAGCAAACGGG